rnacentral:rRNA from 1 species
CUGGCUCAGGAUGAACGCUGGCGGCGUGCCUAACACAUGCAAGUCGAACGGAGAUUUAACGCUGAUGAAGCUUCGGCAGAAUCUUGUUAAAUCUUAGUGGCGGACGGGUGAGUAACGCGUGGGCAACCUGCCUCGUACUGGGGGAUAACAGUUGGAAACGACUGUUAAUACCGCAUAAGCGCACGGUAUCGCAAUGAUACAGUGUGAAAAACUCCGGUGGUACGAGAUGGGCCCGCGUCAGAUUAGCCAGUUGGUGGGGUAACGGCCUACCAAAGCAACGAUCUGUAGCCGGACUGAGAGGUCGGACGGCCACAUUGGGACUGAGACACGGCCCAAACUCCUACGGGAGGCAGCAGUGGGGGAUAUUGCACAAUGGGCGAAAGCCUGAUGCAGCGACGCCGCCGUGAGUGAAGAAGUAUUUCGGUAUGUAAAGCUCUAUCAGCAGGGAAGAAAGACUCGUAAGAGAGAUGACGGUACCUGACUAAGAAGCCCCGGCUAACUACGUGCCAGCCGCGGC